UCUCUUUUCGCCAUUUUCGCCAUCUCUUUCCUCCAUUAUCGAUUCACUUUCUUCUCCCCUCCUCUCACUGAUCCAUACUCAUUUUCCUCUGUCUUCUCCAUUGUUCAAUUGGUAAGAUCUGAGGGUUUGGGUUUGUGUAACACCUUGUCGCUCGCAUUAGCCAUUGACGCUACGAUUUUGGUCGUUCUAUGAGUUGUUGAUGCUACACAAUUGUUGUCUAAGUUACUCCGAGAAUGGUAGGGUUGAGUGCGUGCGAGAACAUAGCGAGACAAAAAUUCACCUUCUACAGUCCCUACGGCCUCCUACAUAAAAAAGAAGUCCUUACUGUGCAUUUAUGUCGUUUCUUUGUUUUAUUUCCUAUGUUUUAGUACAUGUUUAAUUAUAAAGACGUAGUCAUGCCUGUGUAAUGUACAAGGGACUUUGACAAUAAAUAUUUUUUUAUUUA